rnacentral:rRNA from 1 species
UACGUAGGGUGCAAGCGUUAAUCGGAAUUACUGGGCGUAAAGCGUGCGCAGGCGGUUUUGUAAGCCAGGUGUGAAAGCCCCGGGCUUAACCUGGGAAUGGCAUUGAGGACUGUGGAGCUCGAGUGCGGCAGAGGGAGGUGGAAUUCCACGUGUAGCAGUGAAAUGCGUAGAGAUGUGGAGGAACACCGAUGGCGAAGGCAGCCUCCUGGGCCGACACUGACGCUCAUGCACGAAAGCGUGGGAGCAAACAG